rnacentral:rRNA from 1 species
UACGAGGGGGCGAGCGUUGUUCGGAAUUAUUGGGCGUAAAGGGUGCGUAGGCGGUUUGGUAAGUCUUGUGUGAAAUCUACAGGCUCAACUUGUAGUCUGCACGAGAAACUGCCGGGCUUGAGUAUGGGAGAGGUGAGUGGAAUUCCUGGUGUAGCGGUGAAAUGCGUAGAUAUCAGGAGGAACACCUGUGGCGAAAGCGGCUCACUGGACAAUAACUGACGCUGAUGCACGAAAGCUAGGGGGGGAGCAAACAGG